rnacentral:lncRNA from 1 species
GGUAGUAAAAAAUGAAUUGGUGGCGGUUUUGGUUGAGGUAAUUCAAGUAAUAGAUAUACCCGUGUGCCUCCGGUACUGGUUAGUCAACCUUUUGAGGAAGAAAUAGGUCUAGGUGCUCACGAUAUGGUGUAACGCCCCGAGUCUGUACCCUGGACGCCACACUGUGCUUACGACCCCGAAGGACCACAAGCUAACCCAUGACUGGUACCUUCUGUAA